rnacentral:misc_RNA from 1 species
CUUUUGAAGGUGGUUCAUCUGGACAAGCUGGCUUGUCUGGAUAUCUGAUCUCCAGGGGUGCCCAAGUGCUAGGGAGGUCUCUGGAGAAGAACCGGACUGUCAAGGGGAACAUAGACUUGGUCCGGGUCACUGGCACAACAAUCUGCUUCGCAAAAAAUCGAACUCGGAUGGCCUCAGAGAGCAUUGACAACCUCUUGAACUAGUCAAUGAGCUUAAGUUUAGAAGUCGUCGCUGCCCAGCACAUAGUGAAGG